UUGGUCUAUUUCCUAAUUCUAGAUAAAGCUGAUUCUUGCAGCUUUAUUAUUAUUAUUGUAAUUAUUUGUUGCAUUGAUCAUAUAUUUACAUUUUUAAUGCACACCAGGUUUUUGAAAAAAUGUCACCCUUAGAAAGUCAGACUUUCUUUGCACAAUUGUGCAGUAAAGAUUUCGAUUUUGUAUACAUUUUAAGUUCUUCCAGUGUACACUUAUGUUAAAGGGAACGCACAGUAUGCGCUUUGCAGGGAGGACAACUUCAAGUAGUUUCUACAAUGCAAAAGGAAUUAAUCGUGUGGCAUUGUAAUAGAAAUUGGAUGUUCUUCAAAGCUGUUUCUCAAAAUAUGUGAAUCUUCUUUCCCCUGUUCAAUCAAAGGUUCUGUAGAGUAUUGCACUAACACAUCUACUGUAAUCCUAAAUAGUUAGUUUCUCACAUGUGAUCAAUUACACUGUAGGGAUGCUUUUAACGGCAGUGAAUACGACUUUUCAUGAAUCCAUGGUGCAUGUCUAUGAUAAUCUUCAAUAUUUAACUUCUACAUGUAAUCUACUACAUUGUAGCGAUGAUAUAAAAGUUGAAUAUGGCAGGAAGAAGAAAAUUUUCAUGAAGCUGAAUGAUCAUCCAAUACAUAUUUGUGGCAGAGAAAUCCACCGGAAAUUUAGCCGUGGGAGCUAUAUUAUGGUGUAUUGCUUAUGAUGUUGCAAACAAUAAUUUCUCACAUAUUUUUUGACGUACAAGAUAAGCUGAAGUCAGCUCCAAAUUCAAUUGCUCUAGUGACGGUAAACAGCAUCUAGAUUCCAUAAAGUUCAUUAUCCCCAUUCGGUUCAACAGUUAUUCAACUAAGUCUCUCUUUAAUCUUUUGUGAGUACAUAAUAUAUUUGUCAAAAGGAGUUGCUGCCAUGCUGAUCAAGAAAGGAGUGUGCAACACAAAGAAUCUGGUAUAUUGUAUCAGCUUGAGUAUGAUGGGUCAUCUGAAUUGAGGGUAAUUUGAGUAGGUAUCAUUUCUCAUAUUUAUAUGUACUUUUUAGCUUUAUGGUUGAAAAAUGUUUGUGAAGAGCA